rnacentral:rRNA from 1 species
GCCCUUAGAGUUUGAUCCUGGCUCAGGAUGAACGCUAGCUACAGGCUUAACACAUGCAAGUCGAGGGGAAACGAUAGAGAAAGCUUGCUUUUUCUAGGCGUCGACCGGCGCACGGGUGAGUAACGCGUAUCCAACCUGCCUAUCACUUGGGGAUAACUUUGCGAAAGUAAGACUAAUACCCAAUGACGUCUCUAGAAGACAUCUGAAGGAGAUUAAAGAUUUAUCGGUGAUGGAUGGGGAUGCGUCUGAUUAGCUUGUUGGCGGGGUAACGGCCCACCAAGGCGACGAUCAGUAGGGGUUCUGAGAGGAAGGUCCCCCACAUUGGAACUGAGACACGGUCCAAACUCCUACGGGAGGCAGCAGUGAGGAAUAUUGGUCAAUGGACGAGAGUCUGAACCAGCCAAGUAGCGUGCAGGAUGACGGCCCUAUGGGUUGUAAACUGCUUUUAUAAGGGAAUAAAGUGAGUCUCGUGAGACUUUUUGCAUGUACCUUAUGAAUAAGGACCGGCUAAUUCCGUGCCAGCAGCCGCGGUAAUACGGAAGGUCCGGGCGUUAUCCGGAUUUAUUGGGUUUAAAGGGAGCGUAGGCCGGAGAUUAAGCGUGUUGUGAAAUGUAGACGCUCAACGUCUGCACUGCAGCGCGAACUGGUUUCCUUGAGUACGCACAAAGUGGGCGGAAUUCGUGGUGUAGCGGUGAAAUGCUUAGAUAUCACGAAGAACUCCGAUUGCGAAGGCAGCUCACUGGAGCGCAACUGACGCUGAAGCUCGAAAGUGCGGGUAUCGAACAGGAUUAGAUACCCUGGUAGUCCGCACGGUAAACGAUGGAUGCCCGCUGUUGGUCUGAAUAGGUCAGCGGCCAAGCGAAAGCAUUAAGCAUCCCACCUGGGGAGUACGCCGGCAACGGUGAAA